AGUAAUAGCAUGUAGCUGCCCAUCCAGAGACUACAUUUCCCAGUCUCCUUUGCAUCCAAUGUGGCCAUGUGACUAGCUUCUCUCCAAAGAAAUGAGCGAUUUCGGGAUAAAACUGUAAAGACAUUGCUGAAAAAUACCAGUAUCAAAUAUUAACAAAAUUCCUAAUCUGUUCUGCAAAUGUGUUCACCUUUGCUUCAUGGGAAGGGGUCUCCAGUUCUCCCCGGAGUGCCUACAUGGACCUCACUAGUCUUGGCAUCACCCCGUACGGCCUCGGAGACACAAGCUCACUCCAUCUUCUCUCGGGGGCUCGGCAGUGCCCCUGUGAUCUUAAUGGCUCCAGCUCAGACUCGCCUAUUUCUCUUUCUCAUCACUGAAGGCAGUGUUUGGAUGCUGGAGUCCCUGGGCUUCGGAGUCCCAGGCAAGCCACUGCUUCGCCCACAGAGGAGGGAGGCCGUGGACUCAUGGCUCAGUGAAUUUUCACCAGACAACGCGCCUUGAGACCAGUGAAAUCUUUCUGUGCCCCACUGAGGCCCUUCCCGCCUCUCUACAUUGUAAUCUCAUUUUUGCUUACCUGGUGGGAUCCGAAGAGGACUCCGGACAACACAUCCGGCGCCCUGAAGCUCCUCCUCCGCCAGGAGCGGGAGCCGCAGCAGAAGACCAUUCAAUGAGGUCCUGAGAACAGGAGUCUUAUGGGUUUGACCUGGGUCUUGCCCACGUCCCUUCCCCAGGCCUCCCCAAGCCAGCCACUUUCACUGAGGCGGCAGUCCCCGCCGCCAUUUUUUAAAGGAGUCGCAGCCUUUCCGGAGCCAGGCGCCAGUCGACUAGCCAAUGCGCAUGCGUGAGGCGUUAUUCCUGAGGUCAUAGAGACGGCCACAGUUGCCCGGGGAUAGGUUCCUGAGACUGGGCAAAGGAGGAGCCCUGUGUAUCGGUGCGUCAGGUGGGGGCUCAGACCACUCCUCGCCAGGACGUCACAGUAUAGUCUCUGAAGGCCAGAAUUCGCGGAGGGUCGACCAGGAGUUUGAAAGCUGAGGCCGAUCUCCGGGGAAGCAGCGCAGAAUCCCAGCCUCAGGCCUGCACUGUCGGAAUACAGGUGAGUCUCCCCAAAUGUCGUGCCCUUGUCAUCUCGAGGACAUGUCUGCCUGUGUGCCUGUGGGCUGCUCU
rnacentral:lncRNA from 1 species